rnacentral:rRNA from 1 species
UACAGAGGUCUCAAGCGUUGUUCGGAUUCAUUGGGCGUAAAGGGUGCGUAGGCGGCGCGGUAAGUCGGGUGCGAAAUCUCGGAGCUUAACUCCGAAACUGCAUUCGAUACUGCCGUGCUUGAGGACUGGAGAGGAGACUGGAAUUUACGGUGUAGCGGUGAAAUGCGUAGAUAUCGUAAGGAAGACCUGCGGCGAAGGCGGGUUGCUGGGCUGACACUGACGCUGAAGCGCGAAAGCUAGGGGAGCGAACGGG